AUUGAACGCUGGCGGCAUGCCUUACACAUGCAAGUCGAACGGUAACAGGUCUUAGGAUGCUGACGAGUGGCGAACGGGUGAGUAAUACAUCGGAACGUGCCUAGUAGUGGGGGAUAACUACUCGAAAGAAUGGCUAAUACCGCAUGAUAUCUACGGAUGAAAGCAGGGGAUCGCAAGACCUUGUGCUACUAGAGCGGCCGAUGGCAGAUUAGGUAGUUGGUGGGAUAAAAGCUUACCAAGCCGACGAUCUGUAGCUGGUCUGAGAGGACGAUCAGCCACACUGGGACUGAGACACGGCCCAGACUCCUACGGGAGGCAGCAGUGGGGAAUUUUGGACAAUGGGCGCAAGCCUGAUCCAGCAAUGCGGCGUGCAGGAUGAAGGCCUUCGGGUUGUAAACUGCUUUUGUACGGAACGAAAAGCCCCGGGUUAAUACCCUGGGGUCAUGACGGUACCGUAAGAAUAAGCACCGGCUAACUACGUGCCAGCAGCCGCCGUAA
rnacentral:rRNA from 1 species